GGCCCAGACUCCUACGGGAGGCAGCAGUGAGGAAUAUUGGUCAAUGGCCGAGAGGCUGAACCAGCCAAGUCGCGUGAGGGAAGACUGCCCUAUGGGUUGUAAACCUCUUUUGUCAGGGAGCAACGCCGGCUACGUGUAGCCGGACUGAGAGUACCUGAAGAAAAAGCAUCGGCUAACUCCGUGCCAGCAGCCGCGGUAAUACGGAGGAUGCGAGCGUUAUCCGGAUUUAUUGGGUUUAAAGGGUGCGUAGGCGGAAUGCCAAGUCAGGGGUAAAAUCGCGGGGCUCACCCUCGCUCCGCCGUUGAAACUGGCGUUCUUGAGUGGGCGAGAAGUAUGCGGAAUGCGUGGUGUAGCGGUGAAAUGCAUAGAUAUCACGCAGAACUCCGAUUGCGAAGGCAGCAUACCGGCGCGCAACUGACGCUCAUGCACGAAAGCGUGGGUAUCGAACAGGAUUAGAUACCCGCGUACC
rnacentral:rRNA from 1 species